ACAAAUAUUAAUCAGAAGCCAUCUAAAAGAAAAAAAAUUGUCUUUCAAAACUAUUGCAAUCAAAUUGUCUCACAAAAAUACAUCCAAAUAUACAAAAACUAAAGCAUCCAAAAUUAAGCAUAACCCACCCGAUGCCACAAGAGCAUCCACACCCAAAUAACCAUUAGGUCCACAACCCAAAAACCAGUAACAUACCUGAAAGACAGAGUAGGAAGAUUAGUUUCUUGAAGCAUUAGAAUUUUUGGCUUGUAUCUACGAACCAGCACUGCCAACUUCUGUUUAUGGCACGUACUUCCCAAUCCCCAGACACUCCAGCUAAGGAUCUUCAUUAAAGUUAGAAAUCUCUUCAAUUCUAGCAAUGGAGGUAUCAUUUGCAGAAUAUUAACUUGAACUAUCUCCUUAGAACCACAAAACCCCAAAUUUUGAGAGCCAGUAAAACCAAAGGAUCUAUGAGCUCCCAAACCUGUCUCUUGUUCCACCACAACCCUCCUCUCCCCCCCUCCCCACACUCUAGUACGACUCUAAGAAAUCUCUCGCUCUAUUUACCUUUCAUCACUAUCAAUCCCAUCUUUUACGUUGCCCAUGGUACAUACCUUCCCAAAAGGCAUGUGAACUUCCUUCUCAAGAAACUGCCCAUUACUCAUACCCUUAAAACACCCUUCACCCCUAUCAUUCUGAUUAAUACCCCGGGAGUCCAUCUCUAGCUCUUUUCUUUUAUCAAAAAAAGAAAUUUCUAUUUUUCUACCAAAAGAACCUUCAAUUGAUCAUGAGGACUCUGAUUUGGAAUUAGAAACCGAUGGUAUUGAUUUUACAACCUUCUUUUUAGGAAUCCGUAUCUUUUUCAUUUUCAAAUUUGAAAAAGAGUAAUUUGACACCUUAAUGAUCUCACAUCCCUACUAUUGACACGUGGCCUACUUUCUCCUUGGAAAACUAUUUUUACCGCAGAAGACCUUUCUCUCUUAUGCAAUUCCUAAACAUUCCUUUGUGCUUUGGGAUCAUAAGUAGAUCUCUUUGUUAAAAGAACUUUCACCCAAUCAUCCUGUGGAGAUAGUAAUUCAAAAGUACCACUACUGUCAUCUUUGACCCCAACCUCUUGAGCCAUUUGGACUUUUGCUCCUUCAGCAUAUACAUCAAUAAGAAAGUCCUCAUUAUUGACUUCAACGCGAAUUUUAUUAGGAAAAGGUACAAAACCAUUUCUAAGAACCUUCAUCCUAACAAAGGAUAAAUCUAUACUAUUUAAAGACUCCUAGUCUAUACCCACAAAAUCCCCACAAAGAUUGCACAAAUCUUGAAAAACACCCAUGUUCCAAGCAUGAAGCGGAAUACCCCAUAAUCUAAUCCAAACUAGACUCUUUGGAACAUAAAAAAUGUGAGAGGUAUUCUUCCAAAUAUCUAAGGUCAAUAACUCACCAUAGCUUGAUACGGAGAACAUUCUUCACCUCAUC
rnacentral:lncRNA from 1 species